CGUCAGUGGAACCAGAUGGCGAGCACGCCAAGCGCAACUGUCCUUCUCUACCUGAAACUUUAAAUUUAAACCCCAGUCUGAAACACACACUGGCACAAUUCCAUUUAAGUAGUCAGAGCUCUUUGGGUGGACCAGCAGCUUUUUCUGCUCGAUAUUCCCAAGAAAGCAUGUCACCGACUGUGUUCCUGCCUCUUCCGUCUCCUCAGGUUCUUCCUGGUCCUCUUCUUAUUCCUUCUGAUAGCUCCACAGAGCUCACUCAGACUGUUUUGGAAGGGGAGUCUAUUUCUUGUUUUCAAGUCGGAGGAGAAAAGAGACUGUGUUUGCCCCAAGUCUUAAAUUCUGUUCUCCGAGAAUUUUCACUCCAGCAAAUAAACACAGUAUGCGAUGAGCUCUAC
rnacentral:lncRNA from 1 species